UGCUAUACAUGCAAGUCGUACGCUUCUUUUUCCACCGGAGCUUGCUCCACCGGAAAAAGAAGAGUGGCGAACGGGUGAGUAACACGUGGGUAACCUGCCCAUCAGAAGGGGAUAACACUUGGAAACAGGUGCUAAUACCGUAUAACAAUCGAAACCGCAUGGUUUUGAUUUGAAAGGCGCUUUCGGGUGUCGCUGAUGGAUGGACCCGCGGUGCAUUAGCUAGUUGGUGAGGUAACGGCUCACCAAGGCCACGAUGCAUAGCCGACCUGAGAGGGUGAUCGGCCACAUUGGGACUGAGACACGGCCCAAACUCCUACGGGAGGCAGCAGUAGGGAAUCUUCGGCAAUGGACGAAAGUCUGACCGAGCAACGCCGCGUGAGUGAAGAAGGUUUUCGGAUCGUAAAACUCUGUUGUUAGAGAAGAACAAGGAUGAGAGUAACUGUUCAUCCCUUGACGGUAUCUAACCAGAAAGCCACGGCUAACUACGUGCCAGCAGCCGCGGUAAUACGUAGGUGGCAAGCGUUGUCCGGAUUUAUUGGGCGUAAAGCGAGCGCAGGCGGUUUCUUAAGUCUGAUGUGAAAGCCCCCGGCUCAACCGGGGAGGGUCAUUGGAAACUGGGAGACUUGAGUGCAGAAGAGGAGAGUGGAAUUCCAUGUGUAGCGGUGAAAUGCGUAGAUAUAUGGAGGAACACCAGUGGCGAAGGCGGCUCUCUGGUCUGUAACUGACGCUGAGGCUCGAAAGCGUGGGGAGCAAACAGGAUUAGAUACCCUGGUAGUCCACGCCGUAAACGAUGAGUGCUAAGUGUUGGAGGGUUUCCGCCCUUCAGUGCUGCAGCUAACGCAUUAAGCAGGUCUUGGGAUUCAGUUGGGCAC
rnacentral:rRNA from 1 species